rnacentral:tRNA from 1 species
AAAGAAUUAGUUAAAAUAUAACAUUAAUAUGUCAUAUUAAAAUUAUUUAUUGAAAAUAUUCUUUU